rnacentral:rRNA from 1 species
CCCCUAGAUGUUCUGGGCCGCACGCGCGCUACACUGAACAGUUCAACAAGUCUUAACCUUGGCCGAUAGGUCUGGGUAAUCUUUGAACGCUGUUCGUGAUUGGGAUAUACCUUUGCAAUUAUGGGUCUUCAACGAGGAAUUCCUAGUAAACGCAAGUCAUCAGCUUGCAUUGAUUACGUCCCUGCCCUUUGUACACACCGCCCGUCGCACCUACCGAUUGAAUGGUCCGGUGAAAUCUCGGGACGGCGGCUUGGUCGCUUGCGUCCGACUGCUGAAACUUGAUUAAACCAUAUCAUUUAGAGGAAGGUGAAGUCGUAACA